CUCCAAAUAAAGACCCUUCACACCUACCACCCUUCUCUUCAGACCACUCAGACCCACACCUACCACCCUUCUCUUCAGACCACUCAGACCCACACCUACCACCCUUCUCUUCAGACCCACACCUACCACCCUUCUCUUCAGACCCACACAUACCACCCUUCUCUUCAGACCACUCAGACCUACACCUACCACCCUUCUCUUCAGACCACUCAGACCCACACCUACCACCCUUCUAUUCAGACCAUUCAGACCCACACCUACCACCCUUCCAUUCAGACCCACACCUACCACCCUUCUCUUCAGACCACUCAGACCCACACCUACCACCCUUCUCUUCAGACCACUCAGACCCACACCCACCACCCUUCUCUUCAGACCACUCAGACCCACGGCUGACACCUUUAGUCUCUCUCUCUCUUUCUUUCUAUCCAUCCUCUUGAUACAGAUCUCUUGAUCCAUCCUCUGGCUGCAUUUUAAAAUGGCUCCUGGCUCCAGCCGUAAGCUGUGUCCUAGUUGUAACACAUCAAUAAGAGGAGCAUCAAAGAAGAGCCAGUUCUGUGGUGCAACAAUCCAGCUAAAGGUCAAGUUAGAGGCCCAAAAAAGGAAGGCUACAGAUGAAUGGGCAAAUAAGACAAUGAAACAUGGAAGAUAUGCAACCUUGGUUAAUGCAGCAAACAAGCUGGUAAGCUUUAUGUUUUCCUCUAAAAACAUUUCUGCAUUUCUAGCUUAGGGAUAUGAUAGGCCCUAUGCAAUUAUUUGUUGUCUCAUUGUGUUAUUUAAGAGUGUAAAUCUAAAUGUCAUUAUUUGACUGAUAUUUGUUGUGUUUCUGGAAGUUAUUUUGUCAUUAAUGAUUCCAGGUACAUAGGUUCCACAAGGUAGGAGGGAACCCCCUGCUACUCCUCAGCAAGAGGAAAAAGGAUAACAUUUUGUCGUCGACUGCACUGUGUCCUCACAGUGGUAUGAUGAGUCAGACCUCAAUGGCAGCAAUCCAAAGGUUGUAUGAGGCAAUUGUGAAAGAACUGUCUGAUACAGUUGCCCCCCAGGAGACCAGCUACACCCCCAUCCUCAACCAGGUUGAACCCCCGAUAUCCCCCACCACCCAGGAGACCAGCUACACCCCCAUCCUCAACCAGGUUGAACACCCGAUAUCCCCCACCACCCAGGAUGCCAGCUACACCCCCAUCCUCAACCAGGUUGAACCCCCGAUAUCCCCCACCACCCAGGAUACCAGCUACACCCCCAUCCUCAACCAGGUUGAACCCCCGAUAUCCCCCACCACCCAGGAUACCAGCUACACCCCCAUCCUCAACCAGGUUGAACCCCCGAUAUCCCCCACCACCCAGGAUACCAGCUACACCCCCAUCCUCAACCAGGUUGAACCCCCGAUAUCCCCCACCACCCAGGAUACCAGCUACACCCCCAUCCUCAACCAGGUUGAACCCCCGAUAUCCCCCACCACCCAGGAGACCAGCUACACCCACACCAAACCAAAGAAGACAGAGAGAAAGUCCUGUCGCCCUCAAAAAACCCUCCAACUCGCUGAGCAUGAUGACAGUUCACCCCAUCCAAUCCCAUUCAACCCCAUCCAACCCCAUCCAACCGUAUCCUACCCCAUUCUACCCCAUCCAACCGUUUCCAACCCCAUCAAACCCCAUUCUACCCCAUCCAAGCCCGACCAAGGAAGAGGAAAUAUGACUACAUGCAAAAAGGUAAAUUAG
rnacentral:lncRNA from 8 species